rnacentral:rRNA from 1 species
AACAGCAGGCCUAACUAUCCAAAGGACACCAAAUCCUAUCUGAUUUUGGAAACUAAGCCUCAUAAGACCUGGGCAGUUCUUGGAUGGGAGACCACCAAUGAAUACCAGGUGCUGUAGGCU